GACGAACGCUGGCGGCGUGCUUAACACAUGCAAGUCGAACGGAAAGGCCCUGCUUUUGUGGGGUGCUCGAGUGGCGAACGGGUGAGUAACACGUGAGUAACCUGCCCUUGACUUUGGGAUAACUUCAGGAAACUGGGGCUAAUACCGGAUAGGAGCUCCUGCUGCAUGGUGGGGGUUGGACAGUUUCGGCGGUUGGAGCUGGACUGGCGGCUUAUCAGCUUGUUGGUGGGGUAGUGGCUUACCAGGGCUUUGACGGGUAGCCGGCCUGAGAGGGUGACCGGCCACAUUGGGACUGAGAUACGGCCCAGACUCCUACGGGAGGCAGCAGUGGGGAAUAUUGCACAAUGGGCGGAAGCCUGAUGCAGCAACGCCGCGUGCGGGAUGACGGCCUUCGGGUUGUAAACCGCUUUCGCCUGGGACGAAGCGUGAGUGACGGUAAUGGGUAAAGAAGCACCGGCUAACUACGUG
rnacentral:rRNA from 1 species